CUAACGUGGUCGCUUGAGCCGUACGGCCUUGCGGGGCCGGUCCCACUUCGAUCGCCGGAGCCGUAUGGAGUUGUGCGGAGCUGGUCCCGACAUCGCGCGGGGUUCUGAAAAACUGACCAGGUUAAAAUAUUCCGCGCGGCAACGGCCUGCCGGCCCGCAGCCGCCUCAACGCCAUACGCACCGCCUUGACGCCGUACGCCCGUCGGACUUCGCUCGAACUUCACGUCACUCACUCGACCUCCGUGCGUACGCCGUCGAGGCGGCUGCGGGCUUUAGGUCGCUCUUGCCGCAUGGAGUCGCAUGCUCGCGGGACAGGCCCUUUAGUGUGCGGGGAUUGCUGGUCAGCGUGGACCCGGUGGGCUGAAGGGCCUGCUACUGUGCUGUAUCUCUAGAUUAAGAAGCAGCUACAACGAUACAAAAAUAAUUCUUAGCAAUUUUUUUUGUUGAGCAACCAUUUAUGAAUUUAUCAUGCCAUGGAACAAUUUGUAAAUUUAAUCCCAUCCAUUUUGGCCUUUGGUGGGGAAGGGGAAAUUGGAAAGUUGUCGAGGCCAGAGACUUGCGUUCAAUCCUGACCACGGGCGCUUGUCCGUACAGAGUUUGGACGUUCUCCACAUGACCUGCGUGGGUUAUCUUCGAGAUCUUCGGUUUCCUCCCACAAUCCAAAGACAUACAGGUAUGUAGGUUAAUUGGCUUGGUAUAAAUGUAAAUAGUCCCUCGUGCGUGUAUGUUAAUGCGGGGAUCGCUGGUCGGCGUGGACUCGGUGGGCCGAAGGGCCUGUUUCCUCGCUGUAUCUCUAAACUAAACUAAUUGUAUAGGAAAGAACUGCAGAACUGGUUUAAACCGAAGAUAGAUACAAAAAACUGGAGUAACUCAGCGGGUUAGACAUCAUCUCUGGAGAAAAGGAAUAGGUGACGUUUCGGUUCGAGACUCUUCUUCAAUCGAUCAGUAGGGUGGGGACCAGAUAAGUGAUUUCUCUUGAUUCACACUGAGUAGUCACAUAUGUUUUCAGACUGGUUACCUCCCCACAGCACUUUGACCCGUGCAGGCUGGGUGAGAGGCAGCUUCUGCUUCAGGGGAUGCAUUGUCAAGUCGUGUUGAGCGAGUGCAGAUGUUUCCAUCUGUGGAGGGUUUAACUGCAGCAGUUCACGACGGUUUCAUCAGGUACACAGUGGAGCCAGGGUUGUCUGGAAUUCACUCAGACAAUAGGCGCACCUGGCGGAUGGGUGGAAUACCACAAACCCUCAUUAUUGUUGUUGGUCACAAUGGUGGUGCAGUGUUUCGACCAUGGCCAGUUUCGUGGGUUGCCUCUGAUCGAAGGGAAGGGACAGGCUUUCAUCGAUGAAAGCAAUGGUUUGCUGUGCUCACUGUUGGUUCACCGACAAUGAGAUGUGUUAUAAUCCACAAAGUCAUGGAGUCAUACAGCGUACUAACUGGCCCUUAGGCCCAAAUUGCCCAUUCCGACCAACAUGCCCCAUCCAAAUUAGUCCCACCUGCCUGUUUGUGGCACAUAUCCUUGUAAACCUAACCUAUCGAUGUACCUGUCUAAAUACUUCUUAAACGUUGUAAUAAUGCCUCAACUAUGUCUCCUGGCUGCUUAUUCUGUACACCCACCAUCUUUUGUGUAAACAUGUUACCCCUCAGGUUCAUAUUAAAUCUUUCCCCCCUCUCCAUAAAAUGGCUCGCUCAAUGUUUCUUCAGCUAAUCUAACGAACACACGGUGGCAUGGUGGAUGGCACGGUGGAGCAGCGGUGAAGCUGCUGAUUUACAGUGCCAGAGACCCCAGUUCGAUCCUGACUACAGUUGCUGUCUGCGUGGAGUUUGCACGUUCUCCCCGCGACCACGUGGGUUUUCUCCGGGUGCUCCGGUUUCCUCCCACGUUCCAAAGACGACGUACAGGUUAAUUGCCUUUAGUAUAAUUGUAAAUUGUCCCUUGUGUGUGUAGAAUGAUGUCAAUGUGCGGGGAUCGCUGGUCGGCAUUGACUCGAUGGGCCGAAGGACCUGUUUCUGUGCUGUAUCUCAAAACAAAAAAAAACUAUAAACUACUAAAUAUUUUGGGGGUUUUGUGGUUGUGGCCUUAGGGGCAUCUGUUUUAGUAUUCCAGGGAUUGUUUUUAAUGCAGCUUUCAAUGGGCCUGGUCUGCUUUAUUGUCUCGUGUUUCAACGCUUAAACUGCACUUUGGCAGACUCCUUGAUGAACACUUCAUUCCUUCAGCAUUGUUGCACGCCAGUCAGGCAUGCGAGGUCUCCUUCAAAGCACCAAGAUAAAUAGUGAAGGAGUCGUAACAGAGUCGCUUGAACUACACACGGGGCAAUGAUACUCUGAGUUUGUCAGCUGCCAGCACACUGUGGACUAAAUGGCUCGGCUGUUUUAAUACAAAGGAGUCGUUCAAGACAUUAUACUCUCCGAGAUGGCCGUCAGGAGCGAGGAAGGGCGUCGGUGUGAGUGGAGGACCGUCGGAGAGCCAUCGCCUGCCCUUAACGGGUGGUACGGUGGCGCAGCGGUAGAGUUGCUGCCUUACAGCACCAGAGACCCGGGUUCGAUCCUGACUACGGGUGCUGUCUGCACAGAGUUUCUACGUUCUCCCGACAUUGUGGGUUUUCGCCUGGUGCUCUGGUUUCCUCCAAAGACGCACAGG